UCGAUUUUACAAUGACAGGGUGACGACUUCCAAGCGGAAGAUUCUGAAUGAGUUGGAUAUUUCACAAGUGUUGCCGUACCUCACCUUUAUAGAAGGGACAGAGCAAAGACGAAUUAGCUCCAUGGCUAAGAGUGACCCAAAGCGUGCUAUAGAUAUAUUACUCGACAUUCUUGGUAAUUCGCCUGAACGAGGUGUUUGGACGAAAUUUCUACAAGCUUUAAAAAAAGCCGGCUUUGUAACCCUGGCAAAUAUAAUCGUUGGCUAUGAAGUGGUAGAUACAUCUCAC